rnacentral:tmRNA from 2 species
GGGGGCGAUUGGUUUCGACGUGUAGGUUGAAGCUUCAGUGGCGCGCCGAGGACCCCGGUUGGCCUCGUAAAACUUCCGGGAAAAACAAUAAAAGCCAACCAAGAAUUGGCCCUCGCGGCUUAGUUCCGCGACGUCUGACUGCUAACGCCUGCUAGGCGGCUCGGACGACGACAGCAGGAUAGGUGAUCCACUGGGCGACCGGGUGGAGAACCGAAACACUUACGUGGCCGCUGGUCCCGACAAUGGCCUGUUCGCCGGCAGUUGGCGGGAUAAGAUUUAAAGACGAAACACGCGCGUAGAUGCUGUUGUGACUCUUAUGCGGACGGGGGUUCAAUUCCCCCCGCCUCCACCA